UACGUAGGGGGCAAGCGUUGUCCGGAAUCAUUGGGCGUAAAGAGCGCGUAGGCGGCCCGGUAAGUCCGCUGUGAAAGUCAAGGGCUCAACCCUUGAAUGCCGGUGGAUACUGUCGGGCUAGAGUCCGGAAGAGGCGAGUGGAAUUCCUGGUGUAGCGGUGGAAUGCGCAGAUAUCAGGAGGAACACCAAUAGCGAAGGCAGCUCGCUGGGACGUUACUGACACUGAGGCGCGAAAGCGUGGGGAGCGAACAGG
rnacentral:rRNA from 1 species